rnacentral:misc_RNA from 1 species
UCCGGUUUGACACCGGCAGUCCCCCUAGAGUCCCCGGCAUGACCCGAUGGUAACUAGGGGCAAAGGUUUCGCUCGUUAAGGGACUUAACCCGACAUCUCACGACACGAGCUGACGACAGCCAUGCAGCACCUGUGCCUGUUGUACCCCUUGCGGGGCCUACCCGGCUUUCACCGGGAUAAUCCAGGCAUGUCAAGCCCAGGUAAGGUUCUGCGCGUUGCUUCGAAUUGAACCACAUGCUCCACCGCUUGUGUGAGCCCCCGUCAAUUCCUUUGAGUUUUAGCCUUGCGACCGUACUUCCCAGGCGGUCCACUUAACACUUUUGCUCCGGCCGCCAGACCCGUCAAAGGUCCCGCGGCCUAGUGGACAUCGUUUAGGGCCAGGACUAC